rnacentral:lncRNA from 1 species
UUUUUUUUUGUGAUUUUAUUAGGGAAAAUGAUGGAUUCCGAUGCUUUGUUAGACAAGGAGUAUGGACCAACAGUGCUUGAUCAAAUGAUUGAAUAUGAGUUCUUCGAUUCCUCGUAUUCUGAAGAAGUGGAUAUGAUCAUGCUCAAGAGAAUGCAAGAGGAAAUGGACCGGCAAGUGGAGCAUAUUCUCAACUUCAAUGGCUCAAUCAAAGGGAGAAGAGUUAUCAAUUGGGAUAGGGUGUUUGGAGCACGGCUACUGUAGAGGGACUACUUUGCUCUGAGGCCUAUUUUCCCUAACGAUCCAUGGUUUCGUUGCUAUUUUUGCAUCACCAUUGUUUUUGCGCAUUAUGGAGGGAGUGAAGGCAAACGAUGACUACUUCAAGCACACAAGGGAUUGUUGUUGUGAACUUUGUUUCUCUGCCAAGCAGACGUGCACGUCUGCUCUGAGGAUGCUUGCACUUGCUACUACCGCAGAUGUCAUUGUGAGAUGGUCAGGAUGGGGGAGAGCACAUGCCUGGAGACUACUGUCAAGUUUUCCCCCACCAUGGUGCGGGUGUUUGGAGCUGAGUAUCUCAGAGAACCAAAUUCGUGGGAGACGGAGAAUUUGUUGGCUAUUGAAGAUGCCAGGGGGUUUCCAGGAAUGCUCGGAUCAAUUGACUGCAUGCAUUGGCAAUGGAAUAAUUGCCCCAAAGGUUUGUGGAGAAUAUAUCAAGGUCACACCCAAGAGGCCAUCAUCAUACUAGAAGCCGUGGCAUCACGUGAGUUAUGGAUUUGGCAUGCUUUCUAUGGAAUGUCAGGUUCUCACAACGACAUCAACGUGCUUCAACGAUCUCUAGUGUUCAGGAGGCUUUGCAAUGGGAAUCACCGCCGUGCAACUACACUAUCAACGACCAAGACUACAACAUGGGACACUAUCUUGUUGAUGGCAUUUAUCCUCAGUAGGCGGCGUUUGUGAAGACCAUAUCUGAACCGCAUGGCAAGAAACAGUGCCACUUUGUGACAAUGCAGGAAGUGGCUACCAAGGAUGUGGAGAGGGUAUUUGGAGUGCUUCAAGCUCGUUGGGGAAUUUUUCGUGGGGCUGCAAUGAUGUGGGAAUCUGAAACCUUGUGGCAGGUCAUGACAUGUUGUGUUAUCUUGCACAAUAUGAUUGCCCAGGAUAAGGGUGUUGGUGUAGCCCAAACCAAUGAUUUCUAAGCACCUGGAGAACAAGUUGAAAUCCCAGAAGAUCAAGAUGCAGCUCAGCUUAUGAACUUUCUACAGAUGCAUCAGAAUAUUUGUGCUCAUCAAGUGCACGCGCAUCUACUCAAUGAUCUUAUGGAGCAUAUGUGGAUCCUGUUGGAAAUAUGCCCUAGAGGCAAUAAUAAAAUGAUUAUUAUAAUAUUUCCUUGUUCAUGAUAAUUGUCUAUUGUUCAUGAUAUAAUUGUAUUAACUGGAAACCGUAAUACAUGUGUGAAUACAUAGACCACAACAUGUCCCUAGUGAGCCUCUAGUUGACUAGCUCGUUGAUCCAUAGAUGCUUAUGUUUCCUGACCAUGGACAUUGGAUGUCGUUGAUAACGGGAUCACAUCGUUAGGAGAAUGAUGCGAUGGACAAGACCCAAUCCUAAGCAUAGCACAAGAUCGCGUAGUUCGUUUCCUAGAGCUUUUCUAAUAUCAAGUAUCAUUUCCUUAGACCAUGAGAUUGUGCAACUUUCGGAUACCGUAGGAAUGCUUUGGGUGUACCAAACGUCACAACGUAACUGGGUGGCAAUAAAGGUGCACUACAAGUAUCUCCGAAAGUGUUUGUUGGGUUGGCACGAAUCGAGACUGGGAUUUGUCACUCCGUAUGACAGAGAGGUAUUUCUGGGCCCACUCGGUAAUGCAUCAUCAUAAUGAGCUCAAUGUGACUAAGUAUUUGGUCACGGGAUCAUGCAUUAUGGAACGAGUAAAGUGACUUGCCGGUAACGAGAUUGAAUGAGGUAUCGGGAUACCGAUGAUCGAAUCUCGGGCAAGUAACGUACCGAUUGACAAAGGGAAUUGUAUACAGGAUUGCCUGAAUCCCCGACAUCGUGGUUCAUCCGAUGAGAUCAUCGUGGAACAUGUGCGAACCAACAUGGAUAUCUAGAUCCCACUGUUGGUUAUUGGCCAGAGAGCUGUCUCAGUCAUGUCUGCGUGAUUCCCGAACCCGUAGGGUCUACACAUUCAGGUUCGGUGACGCUAGAGUUGUUAUGGGAAAUUGUAUGUGGUUACCGAAGAUUGUUCGGAGUCCCGGAUGAGAUCGCGGACAUGACGAGGAGCUCCGGAAUGGUCCGGAGGUGAAGAUCGGUAUAUUGGACGAAGGGUAUUGGAAUCCGGAAUUGUUCCGGGGGUACCAGGUGAUGACCAGCGUGUCCGAAAGGGGUUUCGGGGGGCCCAGCAAGCGUUGGGAGGCCUUAUGGGCCAAGGGGAAGGGGCACAUCAGCCCACUAAGGGGCUGAGCACCCCUCCCACCCCAUAUCACGUAACCUGGAGAGGUGGGGGCGCCACCCCUAGGGCAGCCGCCCCUCCCGGCUUGGGGGGAAAGUUUCCUAGGGGUGGGGCGCUCAAACUCAUCUAUGGUUUCCCCCGACCGCCGCCUGAUACGUCUCCAACAUAUCUAUAAUUUUUUAUUGUUCCAUGCUAUUAUAUUACCCCUUUUGGAUGUUUAUGGGCUUUAUUUUACACAUUUAUAUCAUUUUUGGGACUAACCUACUAACCGGAGGCCCAGCCCGUAUUGCUGUUUUUUUGCCUAUUUCAGUAUUUCGAAGAAAAGGAAUAUCAAAUGGAGUCCAAACGGAAUGAAACCUUCGGGAGCGUGAUUUUUGGAACGAACGUGAUCUAGAGGACCUGGAGUGCAAGUCAAGAAGCAGCCGACGCCUCCAUGAGAUAGGAGGGCGCCACCCCUCCCCCCCUAUAGGGCGCGCCCCCCUGUCUUGUGGGACCCUCGGGCGUCCACCGACGUACUUCUUCCUCCUAUAUAAACCUACGUACCUCGAAAACAUCCAGGGAGCACCCAAAUCACAAUUUCCACCGCCGUAACCUUCUGUAUCCGCGAGAUCUCAUAUUGGAGCCUUCGCCGGCACUCUGCCGGAGGGGGAAUCGACCACGGAGGGCUUCUACAUCAACACCAUAGCCCUUCUGAUGAGUUGUGAGUAGUUUACCACAGACGAACGGGUCCAUAGUUAUUAGGUAGAUGGCUUCUUCUCUCUUUUUGGAUCUCAAUACAAUGUUCUCCCCCUCUCUUGUGGAGAUCUAUUUUAUGUAAUAUCUUUUUGCGGUGUGUUUGUCGAGAUCCGAUGAAUUGUGGGUUUAUGAUCAAGUUUAUCUAUGAAUAAUAUUUGAAUCUUCUCUGAAUAUUUUUAUGCAUGAUUGAGUUAUCUUUGCAAGUCUCUUCGAAUUAUCAGUUUGGUUUGGCCUACUAGAUUGAUCUUCCUUGCCAUGGGAGAAGUGCUUAGCUUUGGGUUCAAUCUUGCGGUGUCCUUACCAAGUGACAGAAAGGGUUGCAAGGCACGUAUUGUAUUGUUGCCAUCAAGGAUAAAAAGAUGGGGUUUAUAUCAUAUUGCUUGAGUUUAUCCCUCUACAUCAUGCCAUCUUGCUUAAUGCGUUACUCUGUUCUUUGUGAACUUAAUACUCUAGAUGCAGGCAGGAGUCGGUCGAUGUGUGGAGUAAUAGUAGUAGAUGCAGGCAGGAGCCGGUCUACUUGUUGCGGACGUGAUGCCUAUAUACAUGAUCAUCCCUAGAUAAUCUCAUAAUUAUUCGCUUUUCUGUCAAUUGCUUGACAGUAAUUUGUUCACCCACCAUAGUACUUAUGCUAUCUCGAGAGAAGCCUCUAGUGAAACCUAUGGCCCCCGGGUCUAUCUCUUAUCAUAUUUGUUUCCAAUCUACUUUUAUUUGCAUCUUUACUUUUUGCAUCUAUAUUAUAAAAUACCAAAAAAAUAUUUAUCUUAUCGUACUAUCUCUAUCAGAUCUCACUUUCUCAAGUGGCCGUGAAGGGAUUGACAACCCCUUUAUUGCGUUGGUUGCGAGUUCUUUGUUUGUUUGUGUAGGUGCGUGGGACUUUUGAGGAGCCUCAUACUAGAUUGAUACCUUGGUUCUCAAAAACUGAGGGAAAUACUUACGCUACUCUGCUGCAUCACCCUUUCCUCUUCAAGGAAAACUAACGCAAGCUCAAGACGUAGCAAGAAGGAUUUCUAGCGCCUGUUGCCGGGGAGGUCUCCGCUCAAGUCAAGACAUACCAAGUAACCAUCACAAACUCAUCUCCCUCGCAUUUACAUUAUUUGCCAUUUGCACUUCACCCUUGCCGUUUUAUUCGCCCUUUCUUUCCCAAUCUUCUCCUCCUCUCCUUUUUGUUUGCCUUCCCAUUGCCAUCGCCGAAUCAAAAAGAACUAAGGGUUUUCUCCCGGGUUCUAGUGCCUUGGAUAACCCCUCUAUCCUCUCUAAGCUCAUAAACAAUGAUGCUAUGGAAGGACCCACCGGGGUCACCAAUGAGAGCUUAAAUAAUUUUGAUGAAGAUGACUCCCGAAUUUUUCACUAUUUGCUUGAUGAAUCUUUAAAAGAUGCUUGGGAUAGGUUAUUAAGGAUUCGGUCUAGGUAUGUGCCACAAUAUCAAAUUGAAGUUUACUUAAAAAGUUUCUAUGUUGGCUUGCCUACUUCGUUCAAACAAGUUCUAGAUUCUAUUUUUGAAGAAUGUUUUCUUGAAGGGGAUGCUAUAGAUACCUAUGAAAAAAUGAAAACCAUAUUUGGGCAUCCUUUAGAUGAUACGGUUGAAUCAACUACUCUCUUGUGCUUUUAUCAAAAUGAAAUUAUCAAAGAGAUGAAGUCUAGCUUAGAUGCAAAUUUCCGUAACGUGCUUAAUCUCACUUCAUCCAUUAAUAGCAAUGUGCUUACCCUAAAUAGAAGGAUGUAUUCCAUAGAAAGGAGAUCCUCUUUUUCCUUUUCAAGUGCCAAAGAUGGCACUACUUAGAUCUAUCUUCGCUUUUAUGCCUAGCUAGGGGCGUUAAACGAUAGCGGUAGUUGGGAGGCAACCCAAUUUUCUUUGUGCUUUUUGUUUUUGUUCCUAUUUAGUAAUAAAUUGUUGCUUCUACUUUCUAUUUAGAGGUGUUUUUAUCUUUUAAUUAGUGUUUGUGCCAAGUAGAACCUAUAGGAUAAACUAUGAUGAUAGUUGAUUUGAUUCUGCUGAAAAACAGAAACUUUGCGCUCACAAGAAAAAAUUCAAUAAAUCACAGGAACGUGCUUUUGCAUUGAUUAUUUUUGCUGCUGAUCAAUAAACAAAUUUUCCAAUACGUCCUAUUUUGGUACAAUUUUUAGAGUUCCAUAAGUUUGCGUUAGUUACAGAUUGGUACAGACUGUUCUGUUUUUGACAGAUUCUGUUUUUCGUGUGUUGUUUGCUUAUUUUGAUGCAUCUAUGGCUAGUAAAAUAGUUUAUAAACCAUAGAGAAGUUGGAAUGCAGUAGGUUUAAGACCAAAAUAAAUAAAGAAUGAGUUCAUUACAGUACCUUAUGUGGUGGUUUUGUUUUCUUUCACUAACGGAGCUUAUAAGAUUUCCUGUUGAGUUUUGUGUUGUGAAGUUUUCAAGUUUUGGGUAAAGCUUUUUAUGGACUAUGGAAUAAGGAGUCGCAAGAGCCUAUGCUUGGGGUGCCCAAGGCACCCCAAGAUAUUAAAGUAUAGCCAAAAGCCUAAGCUUGGGGAUGCCCCGGGAAGGCAUCCCCUCUUUCAUCUUCGUUCAUUGGUAACUUUACUUGGAGCUAUAUUUUUAUUCGCCACAUGAUAUGUGUUUUGCUUGGAGCAUCAUGUAUUAUAUUAUUCUUUGCUUAUUAGUUUACCACAAUCAUCCUUGCUGUACACACCUUUUGGGAGAAGCCUAUUUUAUUAGAAUUUUCUAGAAUACUCUAUGUGCUUCACUUAUAUCUUUUUGAGCUUGAUAGUUUUUGCUCUAGUGCUUCACUUAUACCUUUUAGAGCACGGUGGUGAUUUAUUUUGUAGAAAUUGCUAGUAUCUCAUGCUUCACUUAUAUCUUUUUGAGAGUCUUUUAGAACAGCAUGAUAUUUGCUAUGGUUAUAAUUUGGUCCUAGAAUGGUAGGCAUCCAAGUUGGGUAUAAUAAAAACUAUCAUAGGAAGUGAAUUGGAUGCUAUGAUCAAUUUGAUACUUGAUAAUUGUUUUGAGAUAUGGAGGUAGUGAUAUUAAAGUCAUGCUAGUUGGGUGAUUAUGAAUUUAAAGAAUGUUUGUGUUGAAGUUAGCAAGUCCCGUAGCAUGCACGUAUGGUUAAAGUUGUGUAACAAAUUUGAAACAUGAAUUGUACCUGGCUUGUGCAUCCUUAUGAGUGGCGGUCGGGGACGAGCAAUGCUAUUUUCCUACCAAUCUAUCCCCCUAGGAGCAUGCGCGUAGUGCUUGAUUUUUGAUGACUUCUAAAUUUUUGCAAUAAGUAUAUGAGUUCUUUUGACUAAUGUGGAGUCCAUGGAUUAUACGCACUUUUACCUUUCCACCAUUGCUAGCCUCUUCGGUACCGUGCAUUGCCCUUUCUCACCUUGAGAGUUGGUGCAAACUUCGCCGGUGCAUCCAAACCCCGUGAUAUGAUACACUCUAUCACACAUAAACCUCCUUAUAUCUUCCUCAAAACAGACACCAUACCUACCUAUUAUUGCAUUUCCACAGCCAUUCUGAGAUAUAUUGCCAUGCAACUUUCCACCGUUCCGUUUAUCAUCUUCAUGACAUACAUUACUUUUGUCAUAUUGCCAUUGCAUGAUCAUGUAGUUGACAUCGUAUUUGUGGCAAGGCCACCAUGCAUUAUUUUUCAUACAUGUCACUCUUGAUUCAUUGCACCAUCCCGGUACACCGCCAGAGGCAUUCAUAUAGAGUCAUAUCUUGUCCUAGUUUCGAGUUGUAAUUCAUAUGUUGUAAUCAAUAGAAGUGUGAUGAUCAUUAUUACUAGAGCAAUUCCCAAAGAAAAAAAAAGAAAAAAAAGGAGAAACGCCAAAAGAAAAAAAGAAAGGCCAAAAAAAAGAAAAAUAAAAAAAGGAAAAGGAAAAAAUAAAAAAAAUAAAAAGGGCAAUGUUACUAUCUCUUUUUCCACACUUGUGCUUCAAAGUAGCACCCUGUUCUUCAUGUAGUGAGUCUCAUAUUUUGUGCUUCAAAGUAGCACCAUGUUUUUCAUAUAGUGAGUCUCAUAAGUUGUCUUUUUCAUACUAGUGGGAAUUUUUCAUUAUAGAACUUGGCUUGUAUAUUCGUACGAUGGGCUUCCUCAAAUGCCCUAGGUCUUCGUGAGCAAGCAAGUUGGAUGCACACCCACUAGUUUUCUUUUGUUGAGCAUUUAUUUAUAGCUCUAGUGUAUCCAUUGCAUGGCAAUCCCUACUCCUCAUGUCGACAUCAAUUGAUGGGCAUCUCCAUAGCCGUUGAUUAUCCUCGUCAAUGUGAGACUUUCUCCUUUUUUUGUCUUCUCCACACCCCCAUCAUCAUAUUCUAUUCCACCCAUAUUGCUAUAUCCAUGGCUCACGCUCAUGUAUUGCGUGAAGGUUGACAAAGUUUGAGAUUAUUUAAGUAUGAAACAAUUGCUUGACUUGUCAUCGGGGGUAUAGAAGUUGGGAACAUCUUUGUGUGACGAAAAUGAAGCAUGGCCUAACUAUAUGAUUUCGUAGGGAUGAACUUUAUUUUUGCCAUGUUAUUUUGAGAAGACAUGAUUGCUUUGAUUAGUAUGCUUGAAGUGUUACUAUUUCUUUUAUCAAUAUGAACUUUUAUUUUGAAUCAUUUGGAUCUGAACAUUCAUGCCACAAUAAAGAUAAUUACAUUAAGAAUUAUGCUAGGUAGCAUUCCACAUCAAACAUUCUCUUUUUAUCAUUUACCUACUCGAGGACGAGCAGGAAUUAAGCUUGGGGAUGCUUGAUACGUCUCCAAUGUAUCUAUAGUUUUUGAUUGUUCCAUGCUAUUAUAUUAUCCCUUUUGGAUGUUUAUGGGCUUUAUUUUACACAUUUAUAUCAUUUUUGGGACUAACCUACUAACCGGAGGCCCAGCCCGUAUUGCUGUUUUUUGCCUAUUUCAGUAUUUUGAAGAAAAGGAAUAUCAAACGGAGUCCAAACAGAAUGAAACCUUCGGGAGCAUGAUUUUUGGAACAAACAUGAUCCAGAGGACUUGGAGUGCAAGUCAAGAAGCAGUCGAGGCCUCCACGAGAUAGGAGGGGGCCCCCUAUAGGGCGCGCCCCCUGUCUCAUGGGCCCCUCGGGCAUCCACCGACGUACUUCUUCCUCCUAUAUAAACCUACAUACCCUGAAAACAUUCAGGGAGCACCCGAGACACAAUUUCCACCACCGUAACCUUCUGUAUCCGCAAGAUCUCAUCUUGGAGCCUUCGCCAGCACUCUGGCGGAGGGGGAAUCGACCAUGGAGGGCUUCUACAUCAACACCAUAGCCCUUCCGAUGAGUUGUGAGUAGUUUACCACAGACCUACGGGUCCAUAGUUAUUAGCUAGAUGGCUUCUUCUCUCUUUUUGGAUCUCAAUACAAUGCUCUCCCCCUCUCUUGUGGAGAUCUAUUUGAUGUAAUCUCUUUUUGCGGUGUGUUUGUCGAGAUCCGAUGAAUUGUGGGUUUAUGAUCAAGUUUAUCUAUGAAUAAUAUUUGAAUCUUCUCUGAAUAUUUUUAUGCAUGAUUGAGUUAUCUUUGCAAGUCUCUUCGAAUUAUCAGUUUGGUUUGGCCUACUAGAUUGAUCUUCCUUGCCAUGGGAGAAGUGCUUAGCUUUGGGUUCAAUCUUGCGGUGUCCUUACCAAGUGACAGAAAGGGUUGCAAGGCACGUAUUGUAUUGUUGCCAUCAAGGAUAAAAAGAUGGGGUUUAUAUCAUAUUGCUUGAGUUUAUCCCUCUACAUCAUGCCAUCUUGCUUAAUGCGUUACUCUGUUCUUUGUGAACUUAAUACUCUAGAUGCAGGCAGGAGUCGGUCGAUGUGUGGAGUAAUAGUAGUAGAUGCAGGCAGGAGCCGGUCUACUUGUUGCGGACGUGAUGCCUAUAUACAUGAUCAUCCCUAGAUAAUCUCAUAAUUAUUCGCUUUUCUGUCAAUUGCUUGACAGUAAUUUGUUCACCCACCAUAGUACUUAUGCUAUCUCGAGAGAAGCCUCUAGUGAAACCUAUGGCCCCCGGGUCUAUCUCUUAUCAUAUUUGCUUCCAAUCUACUUUUAUUUGCAUCUUUACUUUUUGCAUCUAUAUUAUAAAAUACCAAAAAUAUAUUUAUCUUAUCAUACUAACUCUAUCAGAUCUCACUUUCGCAAGUGGCCGUGAAGGGAUUGACAACCCCUUUAUUGUGUUGGUUGCGAUUUCUUUGUUUGUUUGUGUAGGUGCGUGGGACUUUUGAGGAGCCUCCUACUAGAUUGAUACCUUGGUUCUCAAAAACUGAGGGAAAUACUUACGCUACUCUGCUGCAUCACCCUUUCCUCUUCAAGGAAAACCAACACAAGCUCAAGACGUAGCACCGCCCCCUCCUCUAGAUCCAUCUAGAGGGGCCGACCCCCUCUCCCCUUAACCCUAUAAAUAGAGGUGGGGGGGAGGGCUGCAGCACCCUUGCUUUUGGCGCAGCCCCUCCCUCCACCAACUCUUUCUCCUCCUCCGUAGUGCUUGGCGAAGACCUGCAGGAAUACCACAAGCUCCACCACCACCAUGUCGUUGUGCUGUCGGAGUUCUCCCUCAACUUCUCCUCUCCCCUUGCUAGAUCAAGAAGGAGGAGACAUCGCCGGGUUGUACGUGUGUUGAAAGCGGAGGCGCCGUCCUUUCGGCAAUAGAUCAGAUCUUCCGCGAUUUCGAUCGUUGCGAGUACGACUCCAUCAACCGCCUUCUAGUAACGCUUCCGCUUGGUGAUCUUCAAAGGUAUGAAGAUGCUCAUCAUCUCCCUCUCUUAUUGCUAGAAUCUCCAUAGAUUGAUCUUGGUGAUGCGUAGAAAAUUUUGAAUUUCUGCUACAUUCCCCAACAGAUCCACAAUGGAAACCAAAGAGCUGAUGAUUGAGUUGUGCACUUAAAAUAAAUUAUGUGUAAACACUAUUUAUGUUUGGUACCAACAUUUAUUAUUUACGUGCGACAUUGGGGCGUGACUGGGCGCGCUGAUACGUCUCCAAUGUAUCUAUAAUUUUUUAUUGUUCCAUGCUAUUAUAUUAUCUAUUUUGGAUGCUUUAUAUGCAUUAAUAUGCUAUUUUAUAUUAUUUUUGGGACUAACCUAUUAACCUAGAGCCUAGUGUCGGUUCCUGUUUUUUUCCUUGUUUUUGGGUUUCGCAGAAAAGGAAUACCAUACGGAGUCCAAAUGGAAUGAAACCUUCGCGAUGAUUUUUCUUGGAACAGAGGACAACCAGGAGACUUGGAGAUGAAGUCGGAGGAGCUACGAGGCAGCCACAAGGACGGAGGGCGCCCCCACCCUUGUGGGCCCCCUCGUGACCUAAUUCUUUUGCCUAUAUAUUCCCAUAUGUCGCAAAAACACCAGAGACAACCACGAAAACACUUUUUCGCCACCCAACCUUCUGUACCCGUGUGAUCCCACCGCACCCUGCCGAAGGGGGAUUCGAUCACGGAGGGCUUCUACAUCAACUCUAUUGCCCUUUCGAUGAAGUGUGAGUAGUUUACCUCAGACCUACGGGUCCAUAGCUAGUAGCUAGAUGGCUUCUUCUCUUUCUUUGAUUCUCAAUACCAUGUUCUCCUCGAUGUUCUAGGAGAUCUAUUAGAUGUAAUACUUUUUUGCGGUGUGUUUGCCGAGAUCUGAUGAAUUGUGGAUUUAUGAUCAGCUUAUCUAUGAAAUUAUUUGAAUCUUCUCUGAAUUCUUAUAUGCAUGAUUUGAUAUCUUUGUAAUUCUCUUUGAACUAUCAGUUUGGUUUGGCCAACUAGAUUGGUUUUUCUUGCAAUGGGAGAAGUGCUUAGCUUUGGGUUCAAUCUUGUGGUGUCCUUUCCCAGUGACAGUAGGGACAGCAAGGCACGUAUUGUAUUGUUGCCAUCGAGGGUAAAAAGAUGGGGUUUUCAUCAUAUUGCUUGAGUUAAUUCCUCUACAUCAUGUCAUCUUACUUAGCGUUACUCCGUUCUUUAUGAACUUAAUACUCUAGAUGCAUGCUGCAUAGCGGUCGAUGUCUGGAGUAAUAUAGUAGAUGCAGAAUCGUUUCAGUCUAUUUUACAUGGACGUUAUGCCUAUAUUCAUGAUCAUUGCCUUAGAUAUCAUCAUAACUUUGCGAUUUUCUAUCAAUUGCUCGGCAGUAAUUUGUUCACCCACCGUAUUAUUUGCUAUCUUGAGAGAAACCUCUACAGAAACCUAUGCCCUCGGGUCUAUUUUCCAACAUAUAAGUUUCUGAUCUGCAAUAUUAAUUUCCGAUCUAUUAUUUUGCAAUAUUUUACUUUUCGAUCUAUAAACCAAAAAUACCAAAAAUAUUUACUUUAUCAUUUAUCCAUCUCUAUCAGAUCUCACUUUUGCAAGUAACCGUGAAGGGAUUGACAACCCCUUUAUCGCGUUGGGUGCAAGUUUGUUUGAUUGUUUGUGCAGGUCUUGGUGAUUUGUGUGUUGUCUCCUACUGGAUUGAUAACUUGGUUCUCUAAUUGAGGGAAAUACUUAUCUCUGCUUUGCUGCAUCACCGUUUCCUCUUCAAGGGAAAAAAAUAACGCAAGCUCAAGAAGUAGCAGGAAGAAUUUCUGGCGCCGUUGCCGGGGAGAUUUAGCCAAGUCAUGACAUACCAAGUACCCAUCAUAAACUCUCAUCUCUUGCAUUACAUUAUUCGCCAUUCGCCUCUCGGUUUCCUCUCCCCCACUUCUAAAGAAAUUUUUGAAAAGAUUUGCCUUUUCUUCACCCCUAUCUCACUCAUCUCUCUGUGUGCUUUCUCCCUCUUUAUCUUUUCUCUAUGACUAGUGCCUUUACCCCUCCUUUGUCUCCCGACUUUGAAGUUCUUCACUUCCAACGGAAACAAGGAGAAAAUUUAAAAGAUGCUUGGAAUAGGAUGAUAGAAUCUUAUGGCAAUUGCACUAUAAAGGGGGAUUUUAAAAUUCUACUCCGUAAUUUUUAUGUUGGGCUGACCAUGCCCCAUAAGCAACUCUUGGAUUUUGCUGCUAAAGGGAAUUUUAUAGAAAUUGAUCCCAACAUUGCUUAUGAGAUAAUAGAAGGAGUAGUUGGAAUAUCACCUCCACAAACGGGUCUACCUCACACUCAAGAGGGAACUCAAGUUUUUGAGAAACUAUGUGAAGUAACAAAUUUUUUGCAAAAAUCUCUUGAACCCCUCAAAUAUGUCAGUGGAAACAUCCAUCGCAUGAAUAUGUUGAUUACUCUUUGCAAUAAGACGUUGGAUGAUCUAGAUAUAAAGAUUUCCGAAGAUGAGGAGAACCGCAAAGAACUUCCCGGAUUUGAGCAUAAUUCCAUUAAAAAGAUAGAGACCAAAGAUGACAAUACCUAGAUCUAUUCGUGUUUUUAUGCCUAGCUAAGGGCGUUAAACAAUAGUGCUUGUUGGGAGGCAACCCAAUUUUAUUUUUGUUCUUUGCUUUUUGUUCCUUUUUUGCUUUAAAUAAUUCAUCUAGUAUCUGGUUAGACGUGGUUUUGUGUUUUAAUUAGUGUCUGUGCCUAGUAAGACCUUUGGGAUGGCUUACGGUGAUAGUUGUUCUCACUACUAGGAAAAGGCCUACUAGUGGCGCACUAGUUUUGCCUACUAUUGGCACACUACUGGUGCACCACUAGUACCACGCCACUAGUAUUUUUUACUAAUGGCACACCACUGAUGUGCCAUUAGUAUACGAGAUACUAAUGGCGCACCUGUAGUGCACCAUUAGUAUGCCUAGAGGUGCGCCAUUACUAUCUCACUUAGUAAUGGCGCACCACAUAGGAGUGCGCCAUUAGUAACAAUUUUUUUCAAAAAAAAAUUAAUUUUUUUUUCAAUUUGUUUUAUUUUUUUCUUAAUCUCGGGUCACUAUGGCUUAAUCUCGGGUCAGUAUGCUUAAUCUCAGGUCAAAUCACACUCCAUGGUCAAACUUCCCGAAAGAUCACCCAUCCUCACACUACUCCAGCCCAAGCAUGCUUAACUUCAGAGUUCUAUCCAACCCCAACACCAGCUCACUUCACAGGCACUUGUUGAUAUAUCUAGCAUAUCAAUCCUAUUAAACCUUGUUGAUGUUUAGGACUUUGUUCAUGUUCAUGAGUGUGAUAAAAUUUUGAAAAAUUAUUUCAAACUUCCAUUCAUAUUACGUAUCAUAUUUAUAAAAAAAUCCAAAAACAAUUUCAAAACUAAAUAUAUUUUUUUCUUUUACUAGUGGCGCACCUAGCAAAUGGUGCGCCACUAGUAAGUUUGAAAUUUUUUGAAUUUUUUUGCAUCCUGAUCUUAAAAGCCCCGUAACUUUUUUCUGUUAGGUUUUUGAGGAUUUUGAAAAUGUUUAACGGGGUUCCCCCUGUUAACUUUUUGAGUAGAAGAUUUUUCAUAUAAAAACUUUUUCAUCCGAGUUAGUAUGUAAAAGUUAUGCCCAUUUUACAAUUUCCAGAGAGAUUUUGCAAAUAAAGUCAAAAUUCACAUUUGCAAAUUUUCCCAACAACUAGACCACAUAUCACAUGGGAAACUUAUUUUCUUUUAUUUUUUUGACAUUUCCAUCAUUUUCUUUUAUUUAUUUUUAAACUGAAAAGGCGGUCCAGGGGGGUGCAUUCAACUAGUAAUGGCGCACCACACACAUGGUGCUGUUGGGAUCUAUGGUAGGGUGCGUCGACUGCAAAUUAAAAUUUCCUACACGCAGAACAACCAAGAACAUGCUACGGGAGAUGGAUCACAGUUCGUUACCACUAGACGCGCAGUGUCGUGCAGCGGAAGUAGAGUUGAGGCAGCGUGUCCGCGUGGAUCAUCUCCUCCUCGUCCGAUCUCCCUCGAACAGCCGGUCGUCUGAUCCCAUGUACGAGUUCGCCGGCGCAGCGCAAGUGCACUGCCUCUAACGGUAUCCGCGCGUACAGGAGGAACACCGUGCGGCGGACUGCUAGGUCCGAUCACACAGUCGGCGGCGAGUGGAGGUGGCUAUUCGCAACACAUGCAAACCCUAGUCGCAGUGCUGAAGCGAUCAACCAAAUAAGUGCGCUGCACCUCCAACUUAUAUAGGCGUCCAUCGCGGGCUCAACACUUGGUCCUCGCACGGACCCUAAAGCCCAAAGUCUACUCGGUCACGUUCCUAGUCCAGUUCGGAUCACAUCUGACCAGUGUCCUACGAACCGACCUCGUAGGUUCCUUCCCUUAAGCGCGCGACCCCUUAGGUUCAAGUCAGCUUGGUCACAGUUCGGAUCACCUCCAUACUGCACGGUUGGUAGCGGCCUCUAGCAAGGCGUGCCAACCACCAAGCAGACUAUGAAGCUGGUUAGGCGAACCUGUACAACGUGUCACACUUCUGUUCCCUUUGCCGCACGAUAUAUGUUGUCGGGCUCAAAGCGAUACUGUCAUCCUUGUGCUAGCCUGACCUCUUUCUCAUUUCAGUGAUACCGACCACAAUCCGGAUUAUCUCAUAAUCCUUAUCGCAUGGCCAUGCUUAUCCUGGUCGGAUCACACGAGGGGCCCAGAGUAUAUCUCUCCUUAUCGGAGGGGCAAAUCCCAUCUUGCUCGACCACAUCUCGCAGCAUGGGUCUGGACAAACCCGAAACCUACCUUUGUAACUAACCAGUCACGGAGUAGCGUUUGGUCGGCCCAAAGCAAGUUUGUCACCAUCUCGAGUACAUGCGUCAGCUCAGGUCUUAGGACAUAGAACAUAUGUUUUACUAGAGAGUCACAGAUGACAUAUCGCUGCGUCUCAUUUAGUUGGGUCUGUCCGACUCGGACCUUAUCUCGACUCGAAUCCGACUUCGUCGAAUCCGACCAGACCUUUCCAAGUCCAUAUUAUCCGGUUAGCAUCCAAUGCUCCAUGGCUAGUGAGACCAAGCCAUCGAUCGUGUCAUAUGCUAGUCUAGUCGGCUGCGCGUCCACACAGCCCUUUCGACUAGGGACCUUUUAGGACAGUCAUCAUACAAUGCAUAGUCCCACAAACAAGUCACGUACUUGCUGAUACACAUCAUUGAUAAUGUCCAAGGACUAUCUUUAUUCAUAAACACAUAGGAAAUAUCAUCAUACAUGAUUGCCUCUAGGGCAUAUCUCCAACAGGUGCGCCAUUACUAGUUUCGAAAAAAAAUAAAAAAAAUUGAAAAAAAAAAUAAUUUUUUUUACUAAUGGCGCACCGUGGGUGUGGUGCGCCAUUACUAGUUGAACUAACUAGUAAUGGUGCACCACACCCUGGUGCGACAUUACUAGUUUUGAAAAAAAAUGAAAAAAAAAUUACUAGUGGCGCACCAUGGAUGUGGUGCGCCAUUACUAGUUUAACUAGUAAUGGCGCAGUAUCCCCUGGUGCGCCAUUACUAGUUUUGAAAAAAAUAUUAAAAAAUUGUUACUAAUGGCGCACCAACACAUGGUGCGCCAUUAGUAUAUAGUAGUGGCGCACCACAUGUCUGGUGCGCCAUUAGUGUCCAUAUCAUCUAUAGCCCUUUUCCUAAUAGUGUCUGAUCCUGCUGAGAAAUGGAAACUUUUGUGCCCAGGAAAAUAACUUUCAUAAUUCACAGAAGCGUGCUUUUGAUCUGAUUCUUUUUGCACUGGAUUGGUACACAAAUUUUCUAGGUUGUCCUAUUUUUUCAUAAUUUUUGGAGUUACAGAAGUAUUCGAAGUUUCCAGAUUGCUACAGACCGUUCUGUUUUUGACAGAUUCUAUUUUCUUUGUGUUGUUUACUUAUUUUGAUGAAUAUAUGGGUAGUAUCGGGGGUUAUGAACCAUGGAAUAGUUGGAAUACAGUAGAUAUUACACCAAUAUAAAUAAAUAAUGAGUGCACAACAGUACCAUAAAGUGGUGAUUUAUCUUCUUAUACUAACGGAGCUUAUGAGAUUUUCGGUUGAGUUUUGUGUUGUGAAGUUUUCAAGUUUUGGGUAAGGAUUUGAUGGACUAUGGAAUAAGGAGUGGCAAGAGCCUAAGCUUGGGGAUUCCCAAGCCACCUCAAGGUAAUAUUCAAGGACAACCAAGAGCCUAAGCUUGGGGAUGCCCCGGAAGGCAUCCCCUCUUUCGUCUUCGUCUAUUGGUAACUUUACUUGAGGCUAUAUUUUUAUUCACCACAUGAUAUGUGUUUUGCUUGGAGCGUCUUGUAUGAUUUGAGUCUUUGCUUUUUAGUUUUCCACAAUCAUCCUUGCUGUACACACCUUUUGAGAGGGACACACAUGAAACAUGAUUUAUUAGAAUACUCUAUGUGCUUCACUUAUAUCUUUUGAGAUAGGCAAUAUUGCUCUAGUGCUUCACUUACAAAUUUAUAGAGCCCGUCGGUGGUUUUAUUUUAUAGAAAUUGAUGAACCCUCAUGCUUCACUUAUAUUAUUUUGAGAGACUUUAAACAUCAUGGUAAUUUGCUCUGGUUAUAAAUUUAGUCCUAAUAUGAUAGGCACCCAAGAGGGAUAUAAUAAAAACUUUCAUAUAAAGUGCAUUGAAUACUAUGAGAAGUUUGAUUCCUUAUGACUGUUUUGAGAUAUGAAGAUGAUGAUAUUAUAGUCAUUCUAGUGGAGUAAUUGUGAAUUUGAGAAAUACUUGUGUUGAGGUUUGUGAUUCUCGUUGCAUGCACAUAUGGUGAACCGUUAUGUAACAAAGUUGGAGCAUGAUGUAUUUUUUUUAUUGUCAUCCUUUGUGUGGAGGUUGGGAUUGCGCGAUGGUUAACUCCUACCAACCCUUCCCCUAGGAGCAUGAGCGUAGUGCUUGGUUUCGAUAACUAAUAUAAUUUUGCAAUAAGUAUGUGAGUUCUUUAUGACUAAUGUUGAGUCCACGGAUUAUACGCACUCUCACCCUUCCACCAUUGCUAGCCUCUCUUGUGCCGCGCAACUUUCGCCAGUACCAUACACCCACCAUAUACCUUCCUCAAAACAGCCACCAUACCUACCUAUUAUGGCAUUUCCAUAGCCACUCUGAGAUAUAUUGCCAUGCCACAUUCCACUGUCCUGUUUAUUAUGACAUGCUUCAUUAUUGUCAUAUUUCUUUGCAUGAUCAUGUAGUUGACAUCAUAUUUGUGGCAAAACCACCUUUCAUAAUUCUUUCAUACAUGUCACUCUUGAGUCAUUGCACAUCCCGGUACACCACCGGAGGCAUUCAUAUAGAGUCAUAUUCUUGUUCUAAGUAUCGAGCUGUAAUUUUUGAGUUGUAAGUAAAUAGAAGUGUGGUGAUCAUCAUUAUUAGAGCAUUGUCCCAUGUGAGUAAACAAAAAAAGAGGCCAAAGAAGCCAAACAAGAAAAAAUGAGAGAAAAAGAGAGAAGGGGCAAUGUUACUAUCCUUUUUCCACACUUGUGCUUCAAAGUAGCACCAUGGUCCUCAUGAUGGAGACUCUCCUAUUUUGUCACUUUCAUAUAUUAGUGGGAUUUUUUCAUUAUAGAACUUGGCUUGUAUAUUCCAACGAUGGGCCUCCUUAAAUCGCCCUAGGUCUUCAUGAGCAAGCAAGUUGGAUGCACACCCACUUAGUUUUUCUUUUUGAGCUUUCAUAAACUUAUAGCUCUAGUGCAUUCGUUGCAUGGCAAUCCCUACUCACUCACACUGAUAUCUAUUGAUGGGCAUCUCCAUAGCCCGUUGAUAUGCCUAGUUGAUGUGAGACUAUCUCCCUUUUUUGUCUUAUCCAUAAUCACCAUAUUCUAUUCCACCUAUAGUGCUAUGUCCAUGGCUCACGCUCAUGUAAUGCGUGAAAGUUGAAUAAGUUUGAGAAUACUAAAGUAUGAAACAAGUGCUUGGCUGAAACCAGGGUUGUGCAUGAUUUGGAUAUUUUGUGUGAUGAAGAUGGAGCAUGGCCAGACUAUAUGAUUUUGUAGGGAUAACUUUCUUUGGCCAUGUUAUUUUGAGAAGACAUAAUUGCCUUGUUAGUAUGCAUGAAGUAUUAAUGUUGUUAUGUCAAUAUUAAAAUUUUGUUUUGAAUCAUAUGGAUCUGAACAUUCAUGCCACAAUAAAGAAAAUUACAUGAAUAAACAUGCUAGGUAGCAUUCCACAUCAAAAAAAAUUGUUUUUAUCAUUUACUAACUCAAGGACGAGCAGGAAUUAAGCUUGGGGAUGCUUGAUAGGUCUCCAACGUAUCUAUAAUUUUUGAUUGUUCCAUGCUAUUAUAUUAUCAAUUUUCGAUGUUUUAUAUGCAUUAAUAUGCUAUUUUAUAUUGUUUUUGGGACUAACCUAUUAACCUAGAGCCCAUUGUUAGUUCCUGUUUUUCCUUGUUUUUGAGUUUCACAGAAAAGGAAUACCAAACAGAGUCCAAACAGAAUUAAACCUUUGCGAUGAUUUUUCUUGGACCAGAAGACAACCAGGAGACUUGGAGAUGAAGCCGGAGGAGCCACGAGGCGGCCACAAGGACGGAAGGCGUGCCCAAGGGGGUAGGGCAUGCCCCCACCCUUGUGGGCCCCCGUGACGCUCCUGGCCUAAUACUUUCACCUAUAUAUUCCCAUAUGUCCCCAAACCACCAGAGGCAUCCACGAAAACACUUUUCCUCCGUCGCAACCUUCUAUACUCAUGAGUUCCAAUCUAGGGACCUUUUCUGGCACCCUGCCGAAGGGGGUUCGAUCAUGGAGGGUGAGGGAGUCCGGGACUAGGGGGUGUCCGGAUAGCCAAACUAUCAUCAUCAGUCGGACUCCAAGACUAUGAAGAUACAAGAUUGAAGACUUCGUCCCGUGUUCGGAUGGGACUUUCCUUGGCGUGGAAGGCAAGCUUGGCGAUACGGAUAUGUAGAUCUCCUACCAUUGUAACCGACUCUGUGUAACCCUAGCCUUCUCCGGUGUCUAUAUAAACCGGAUGGCUUUAGUCCAUAGGACGAACAACAAUCAUACCAUAGGCUAGCUUCUAGGGUUUAGCCUCCUUGAUCUCGUGGUAGAUCUACUCUUGUAACACACAUCGUCAAUAUUAAUCAAGCAGGACGUAGGGUUUUACCUCCAUCAAGAGGGCCCGAACCUGGGUAAAACAUCGUGUCCCUUGUCUCCUGUUACCAUCCGCCUAGACGCACAGUUCGGGACCCCCUACCCGAGAUCCGCCGGUUUUGACACCGACAUUGGUGCUUUCAUUGAGAGUUCCUCUGUGCCAUCGCAAUCAGGAAGGAUGCCUUUUCCCGUCUUUAAAGACGGCGUCCUCGUCAAGGGAGCUUUGGCUGCCGGCCAAACUAUCCGGCUAGGUGGUUUUCUUAUGCCCGCCUGUUCGGCCACCGCUCCGACGAUGACCUCUCAGGUCAUCAAAAGCGAUCUUCACGUCAGCUCGAAAUUUGCCGAGCAGCUAGAUUCGAUGGAGCUCUCCUCCGUAAACGAGCUCUUGGAUCGCACCGCCACCCUGGGAAUCGCUACAGACUACGAUCAGAUUGGGCUUAAAACCGAUCUGAGAGAAAUUAACUCUCCCCAGGCUACCCACCACGUUGUUGUGGUAGAGGAACAAUGCGGCGACUCUUCUUCUAUGUUAAAAACCAGCUAUGUACGGAUUCCUGAUCCCUCCAUGCCGGAUUCCCGCGGAGGGACGGACGUCAAUCAAAUAUUGAACCUAAAGUCAGGCAUCGGACCAAAUUCGUUGGAAAGCAUCCAACAAACCAAGCUUCCAAAUCCGGAAACUUCUUGGCCUGUGAGCCUCAGAUCGGGCGGGGUUCCAAACUUAAUUCCACCCGCCCACCCAAACAUAAGCGAUCUAUCUCAAAUACGGCAAGAGCCCGAUGAAACAGUACAUCAUUACUAGGCCAGAUUCCUCCUGGUUAUGAACAGGAUAAAGCACUGCCGUGAAGAAAGCGCGAUUUCAAUUUUCUGCAACAAUUGCACGGACAAGGGAAUCAUAAACGUCAUAAGUCGUCGCGAAGUUACAUGCUUCGCCGACCUAGCGACCAUUCUACAAAAAUACUGUGCGAUGGAGAGUGCCUGGAAAACAGAAACCAGGUUUUGGGACAAUCCGGCCCUGAAUACCACCGCAGUCCGAAAUAAAAGGGUGCGUCAUACUCAAGCACCUGGAUUAAAAACCAAAAAGCAAAAAACCCCUAAAGGGCACGGAAUCGUACUGGAGGGAUGGCUCAACGGACCCUGCAAAAUCCACAGUACGGAGGGCGCCACUCCAACACAUAGCCUUCGAGCAUGUUGGAUACUACGGCAGGUGGCCAAAAGUGGCGAAGGCUUUCUAGCCCCGGGCAACCAGCCCAGUAGUACCAGUACGGUAUUAACAGUCUUCGAGACUUUCGCAUCAAAUAACAUGCGGAAGCGAACAAUCCGCAGCCUCGCCGAGGUCUACCAAGUAGCAACAACAAAUCCAUGGAGCGACACGGCUAUCACCUUCAAUGCCAGCGAUGAACCUAAAUUCCGAACAGCUCGAGCACCAGCCGCAUUGGUCCUCAGUCCGAUAGUGGACGGCUUUCGUCUCACCAAGGUACUCAUGGAUGGCGGCAGCGGAUUAAACCUCAUCUACGAGGAAACCCUUCAAAAAAUGGAAAUUGACUGGAGUCGCAUUGAGCGAAGUAGCACAACCUUUAGGGGAAUAAUCCCUAGUCGAGAAGUACGCUGCACAGGAAAAAUCACACUAGACGUAGUGUUCGGCUCCCCGGACAAAUACAGGUCCGAAGAGGUCAUGUUCCAAGUGGACCCAUUCGGCAGUGGAUAUCACACCUUGUUGGGGCGAGAGGCAUUCACAAUCUUCCAAGCUAUACCCCAUUACGGGUACAUGAAGCUCAAAAUGCCCGGGCCCAAUGGAAUAAUCACUCUCGUCAGUGAUCCAGAUAGAGCACUCAGCGCUGAAAAUAAGACAGCCGCACUGGCCCUAGAGGCAUUAUCCGAAGCCCUAGCGGCAGAAGAACUCACUGUGCUGCGCUCCACGGUGGAUAGGGACGAUGUGAUACUCGAUAAGAGGUCUAAGUCCACCUCUUUCAAACCAGCAGACGAAAUAAUCAAAUUCCAGGUCCAUCCAAUGGACCCCACAAAGACGGCCUCCAUUGGGGCACAAUUAAAUCCUGAUGUAGAAGCCGCACUACGAGAAUUCCUUCGGGAAAAUUGGGACAUUUUUGCCUGGCACCCUUCAGACAUGCCAGGAAUCCCACGCAGGCUGGCAGAGCACAGCCUAAACAUCCUAAAAGGAUUUAAGCCAGUCAAACAGGCUCUUCGGCGAUUUUCCGAACCCAAAAGACAGGCAAUGGGAGAGGAGCUAGCCAAGCUCUUAGAAGCCGGAUUCAUCAGAGAUAUAAAACAUCCGGACUGGCUAGCCAACCUAGUAAUGGUACCCAAAAAGGACAAAUCCUGGCGCCUUUGUGUCGAUUUCAAAGACCUUAACAAGGCUUGUCCAAAGGACCCUUUCCCUCUCCCUCGCAUCGACCAAAUCAUCGAUGCUACCGCAGGGCACGAUUCAUUGUGCUUCCUCGACGCAUACUCCGGAUACCAUCAAAUCAAGAUGGCGGAAAAAGACCAGGCCGCAACGGCAUUCAUUACUCCAUACGGACCAUUCUGCUUCAACACAAUGCCCUUCGGACUCAAAAACGCCGGUGCAACAUAUCAACGCAUGAUUCAGACAUGUCUGGCUACCCAGAUAGGCAAGACGCUAGAGGCAUAUGUAGACGAUGUGGUCGUCAAGACCAAACACGUCGAAACUCUAGUAGACGACUUGAGGGUGACAUUCGACAACCUUCGAGCAUAUGACAUUAAGCUCAACCCGGAAAAAUGUGUUUUCGACGUACCAGCCGGAAAGCUCUUGGGCUUCAUUAUAUCCGGUAGAGGAAUUGAAGCAAACCCAGCCAAGAUUCAAGCUCUGUCACAAUUGGAUAUCCCAAAAGACCUCAAGCAAAUACAAAAACUAACUGGAUGCGUGGCGGCUCUAAGCCGCUUCAUCUCCCAUUUGGGAGAAAAGGCACUGCCCCUCUAUCGCCUCCUCCGGCGCACCGAACACUUCGAAUGGACGGAUGCUGCCGCGGCCAGACUCGAAGAAAUUAAGACCGUAUUGGCAACAAAUCCGGUCCUGGCCGCGCCCACCCUGGGCGAACCUAUGUUAUUAUACAUCGCGGCAACACAUCAAGUUGUCAGCGCCACACUCGUCGUAGAACGAGAAACAGAAGGGCACAAAUUCCCUCUUCAAAAACCAGCGUACUACGUAUCCACUGUCUUAACUCCAUGCAAGUCCCGUUACCCACAUUAUCAAAAGAUAGCGUAUGUAGUGUUCAUGGCAUCCCGGAAGCUACGACACUACUUUCAAGAGUGUUCCAUAACGGUGGCCUCCGAAGUACCUCUCAACGAUAUUAUAAACAAUCGCGACGCGAUGGGCAGGAUUGCAAAAUGGGCCAUUGAGCUCUUACCAUUUGACAUAACCUACAAACCACGGUGGGCUAUAAAAUCGCAAGUUUUGGCUGACUUCAUCGCCGAAUGGACCGAAGCCGAACUCCCUAAAGAGUACGGCGCAUACUCCAAUUGGAUCAUGCAUUUCGACGGCUCCAAAAUGUUGGCUGGCUUGGGGGCGUUGUCUUGACGUCCCCAACCGGAGACACGGUCCAAUACGUGCUUCAAAUAAUGUACACGGACUCCAACAAUGCAGCCGAAUACGAGGCCCUUCUACAUGGCCUCCGGAUGGCAAUCUCCAUGGGUAUUCAACGCUUAGAGCUGCGCGGGAAUUCAAACCUCGCAAUAUCCCAAGUAAAUGGAGACUUUGACGCCAAGGAUCCGAAAAUGGCAGCCUACCGUAACGCCGUCCUAAAAAUGUCAGCCCGGUUCGAAGGACUCGAAUUCCACCAUGUAGCCCGGGAUAAUAACCAGGCAGCAGACGUGUUGGCACGCAUCGGCGCAAAACGCGACGCCGUCCCUCCAAACAUCUUCCUGGAGUGGCUCUUUAAGCCAUCUGUAUUAUGGGAAGAGGAGUCCGGAAAUAACAAUCCGGAACCAACUGCAUCGCCUAACACAGAACAUUCUGACACAAUCGGUGGCUCAGCCAAUGAAAUAACAGAUUCAGCCCACAAAAUACUGGCAGUAAUUGCCCCGUGGACGGAACCAUUCCUAGCCUACUUAAUCAGGCAGGAACUUUCCGAAGACCAAAAUGAGGCCCGCUGCAUAGUUCGGCGAUCUAAAGCCUACAAGGUCCAUGAGGGAGAACUUUAUAAGAAAAGCACAACCGGAGUCCUUCAAAGGUGUAUCUCCGAAGAGGAAGGGCGAAAUCUCCUGGCUGAAAUUCACACCGGACUCGGCGGGCACCACGCCGCCGCCCGGGCCCUUAUACGCAAGGCCUUCCAUACAGGGUUUUAUUGGCCGACCGCCCGGGCAGAUGCUCAGGACUUAGUCCAACGAUGCGUCAGUUGCCAGCUCUUUGCUAACCAGAGCCACAUGCCACCCACCGCCCUCAAAACUAUACCCAUCACUUGGUCGUUCGCGGUCUGGGGGCUUGACAUGGUUGGACCCCUUAAAGGGGGAACCCACAAGCACAAAUACUUAUUGGUCAUGGUGGACAAAUUCACCAAAUGGAUAGAGGCCAAGCCGGUUAAAACGGUAGAAUCCGGACCUGUGAUAGACUUCAUAUCCAGGGUAGUACACCGUUUUGGCGUCCCCCACAACAUCAUCACUGAUAACGGCACGAAUUUCACGGCCGACGAGGUUAAACUCUGGUGCAAAAACAUGGGCAUCAAGCUCGACUACGCUUCAGUCUACCACCCUCAAACUAACGGUCAAGUGGAACGGGCAAAUGGUCUAAUCAUGAGCGGCAUCAAACCCAGAUUAGUGCGGUCCCUCACAGAAUCUAACAUGCACUGGGUAGAGGAGCUCGACUCCGUACUCUGGGGGCUGCGGACCACGCCAAACCGCACAACCGGAUUCACACCAUUUUUUAUGGUAUACGGUGCUGAGGCAGUUUUGCCCUGCGAUAUAAUUCAUGACUCACCUCAUGUGCGCAUGUACGAGGAAAGGGAAGCCGAGUUGGAUCGGUAGGACAGUUUGGACGCUUUGGAGGAGGAGCACGACGUGGCAAAAUCCCGUUCCACAUUCUAUCAACAGCAGGCUCGAAGAUAUCAAAGCAGAGAAGUACGGGCCAAAACUUACAAUGUUGGCGAGCUAGUUCUACGCCUGCCGGACAAGAAAAAGGAUAAACUUAAGCCCAAAUGGGAAGCUCCCUUCAUCAUCGACCAAGUCCUUACCAGCGGUGCAUACCGUCUACGCAACGCAUCUGACAACCGACUCGAGCCAAACCCAUGGAACGCAUCCCGUCUCCGAAGAUUUUACGCCUAGUGCCGGACUCAGGGUUCGUCUCCUUCCUCCGUCCACCUUUCAUUUUUUUGCUAUCUUUGUUUUCCCUCCUUUUUCCUCCCUCUUUCAGUACAAACCCCUUGAGGGCUGAUCUGCGCUUUGUUCGCACUUACUCGAUGUGCUACUCGCACUCGUUAUACCUAGGGGCUUCUUUAACAGAAGCUUAUUUCUAUGGGCUUCAUGCCCAACACAUGUGCCAUACUUCCGCAUGUACCUUUUGAUCACCAUUAUAUGCAUCGAUAUGACUUAAGUUUUGGCCAAGCCGGGUUGCCUGGCUCAUGUGCUUACCCCUACGUUCCCGAUUGUUCGGCUAGGAGGUAAAGGGAGCACCUCUGCGAUUGUUACUGCCGGGUCAGCCGGAUGUGUACCUCAGACUGGGUGAAGCCGAAGGCUAGCGUUCUUAAGGGAAUAUUCGGUCGGUGACCUGAAAGAUGAUUUAUUACUUACUUAUUUAUCUGCCCCCAGAUGCUUUUUCUGCUAUUUUCGCAGUCCGGACAUGCACUUUAGGGCAUGCCUCCCAGGGAAAGGAACCCUUAACGGAACUAUUCUCCCUGGAAGAUGUUUCUUACUAACCAUGUAAUAUAACAUAGCUAGUUGGGCACUUGUCUGAUAAAGCAAUUAUGACCCCUACGCCUUGUCUCCAUGCAUGCCCCGGUUCUUUUAUAACCGUAAGGGUAUUCGGACACACUCCGGACUGUUGGGUUCCGAGGUUGAAGCGAAAAGGUCCGCAAAGACAAAUGAUCUACAAUCCGGCUAGAAAGCAUUCUAUAUGUCAUUUUAAAAUUACAUUGUCAAGCUGACUGAUUGUACUCCUCUUCAAUCCCAUCUAACAGGCUAUCUAAUUUACAGUCCUAUUGGGAAUAUUUCGCGGCCAACUCUACUUGGCCGUACAUCAAGCUCACAGGGAUCUCCUUCCCAUCAGGCCCCACAGGUACGACCUGGGCCAUGUGGUUUGGGUCAGCCUUCGGGUACCGCGUCUUCACCAUGGCCCAGGCCUCCCUGGCGCCUUGACGGCAGGCCGAUAUCUUCCACAGACGGAGACGUCGCCGUACUCCCUGAAGCUUCUCAGCAAGCCCUCCAAGGCCCUCAGGUAGGGAGACGGAAGGCCAUAAGGCCUGAACGACGCCGCUCAUCACCUGCCGAACACGUUCGUGCAGUUGCAGCAGCUUGGGAAAAGGAUCUCCCGUGGAACCAGGCAUCUCCUCAGCCGGACGACCCGUGAGCACACCUACAGACACAUUUCUGUCAAUCGACUUCCUCGCCGAACUCUUCUUUUCAAAAGAGUUUGCUCAAGCACUUACUAUAAAUGCCGCGAUGAAGCCGCCGAUUCUCCUUUACGGAGUUAGACAGCUGGACCCGAACAUCUUUUAGUUCUUCGCCCAGCUGGGUGUUGGCAUCUUGGAGUUUGUUCCUCUGCUACACCCUCAUAAGCACCCUCUCGCCGGCCUUCAACUGGCGCAGCAGCUGUUGCUUGUCCGGAUCUAGUCCGGCACCCUCUGCAAUAUUAUUGUCAGACUAUACACACACGCCGCACUUCAUAAACUGCUUCUCUUUUCAAAAUAUGAAUUACCAGAGGGGGUCUCCGUGGCUCCCCCGGUAGCGGCUAGUGCGGCCUCAAGUUGGGCCUUGCAUUCUUGAAGCUCCUGGGACAGGUGGGUAUUCUUCUCGGUAAGAUCCUGCAUUACAAAUGAUCCUUAAAUCAGUUAGUUUAACUAUUUUAAGUCUCGGGGGCUACUGGCAUAUAUAACUAUUAAAAUUCCUCACCUGUAUGUCUUUUACAUACUGCUCCGUGGCUCUGGUUAAACCAUCUUGAGCAGCACGAAGGUGCGCGUCUCCCGCAUUAAAGGCAUUCAACGCCUCUGGGGAGAAACACGCGUCACGAAGAACUGUCUGACUGCGCUUGUGAUUCAUGGCGCUCUCCACCUCAGACCUGGUGGCGGACAACCUGUCGGCAUCCUCCGUUGGAGGAGCAUCUGGCUCGCGCCUUGCGCUUGCCUCCCCCUCCGGACCAGGCGUUCGAGCCUGGCUGGCGGAGGCUUGGUUGGCACCCUCUCCGGACUCAGUCCGGCGAGCACUCUUUCUCCUGGAAGAAUCAUGAGCAUUAAUGUACCUCCCAGGAAUCUUUCCCUUAAAAUACAAUGGUGCACCAUACCUUUGCGGCGGCGUUUCGAUUCGCGCCGCACUCCUCUUCCGCCUGCUAGGCCGCACUGACCUCGUUUGGUUAGUCGUCGCGGGCUCGGCUUCCCGCUGUAAAGGCACCUCCGACGAAGCACCAUUGGUAUACGAUGGUCAGGAAUAAGCAUUAAAAAAGUAACGGUGUCAGGACUUCGGUCGUACUCACCUGGGAAGCCGGACAUAAACUGGGGUAGUCAGCCGUAAUGGCGACUAAAGCAUUGUCUAUGCUGAGCUGGUGGAACACCCCGUCAAUCAAAUCCACCUUUAUGUCCGGAUCCUCUUCGGAGGCCGGAUCAAGGGAUCUUCCCGGAUCCUCGGGUUGUGGAGUUGGGCUUUCUAUGCCCUCCACAUCCCGGCGCAGUUCCUGCGUCGAAAUCAUAAAGUAAGACACUUAUCUUUGAAAGCACGGAUCAGAUAUAUAAGCGUCCGCUUACCUAGCUCCGAGCGUUAUUCAUGGAGAAUCCAUUCAAUGGAUUCGUGCGGAGGAAGUCCUCCUUCCCCCCCCUUGUACAAGCCGGACAGGAUCUUCACUAGAUCGGCGGCCGACCCCGGCCCCGUGCGGCCAUGACGGGUGGCGUCAUUCUCCUCGUUGAAAUCCCACAUGGGGUGGCCCCUAUAUUGGAGCGGCUGCACCCCUAGCAUAAUGCAUGUGGCCAUGACUUCAAUCAUGGUUAAUCCGGAAUGGGCUAGUAACCAUAUCCGGCCCAUCAGAUAGUGGACGCUCCUGUCAUCUUCCUGUUGAGGGCUCCGUGGGCGCCAACUCAAGCGUUUCUUCAGAGGAGCGUUGCUAAACUCCGGGAGGCCGAUCCGGACUGGAUCCGACAGCGGGGCGUCUUCCAUAUAGAACCACUCUGAAGGCCAGUCUUCGAACGCCUUCUUCGGGGUUUCGGAUAGAUAUCCAGUCCCGGCGAUGCGCCAUAUUUCGGCUCGCCCACUUGAUAUAUCGACCCCUCGUAAGAACGGGGUACGAGGCAGAACAGCCUCUUCCACAGUGCAAAAUGGGGCUCGAUGCCCAAGAAUAGCUUGCAAAGAGCUACAAAGCCCGCGAUGUGCAAAAUGGAGGCGGGCGUGAGGCGGUGAAGUUGGAGUCCAUAAAACUCCAGGAGCCACCGGAGAAACGGAUGUAUAGGAAAUCCGAGUCCCCUUAUUAAGUAGGGGAUGAAGCAUACCUGCUCUCCUUUGGAGGGAUUGGGGACGCUCUCCGCCUGCUUCCCACCCUUGUAGGUGGCCAGUCCGGCUCGAACCGGAACCAUAAAGGCCGGGGGAAGGUAUUCCUCUGCUUGGAGCGUCACUAACUCGCUAUGCGGGACUGAGCAUCUCCUCCAACCUCCUGGCUGAGGAAUGGGAGCGCGAGAAGAGGAGCCGCGUCGACUGUCCAUGUUGGAAUGGAUUUUUUGUCAGAUGCGCCUCGAUGAGUACUUGCGGAAGGAGGAUGGUGUGAUUUGGAUCUGGAUCCUCGCCUCUCUUAUAGGCAGCUUAUUCGCGCAGCUAGGGGGUAAAACGUAAGAAUACCCUGGCUUUUCGCAUUCGUACGACACGUGGAAGAAGGCCAUUAUUGGACGUAGAAGCCAAGGAGCUCAACAUUUAUGAAGCAACCGGACACUAUCCGGCAAACACAUGAAACAUGAAGGAGAACCCGCCUUGCAAACGCCGAAGACAACAUACGCGCCGGACUCGUCGUCAUUGAAGCCUGGUUCGGGGGCUACUGAGGGAGUCCGGGACUAGGGGGUGUCCGGAUAGCCGAACUAUCAUCAUCGGCCGGACUCCAAGACUAUGAAGAUACAAGAUUGAAGACUUCGUCCCGUGUCCGGAUGGGACUUUCCUUGGCGUGGAAGGCAAGCUUGGCGAUACGGAUAUGUAGAUCUCCUACCAUUGUAACCAACUUUGUGUAACCCUAGCCUUCUUUGGUGUCUAUAUAAAACGGAUGGCUUUAGUCCGUAGGACAAACAACAAUCAUACCAUAGGAUAGCUUCUAGGGUUUAGCCUCCUUGAUCUCAUGGUAGAUCUACUCUUGUAACACACAUCAUCAAUAUUAAUCAAGCAGGACGUAGGGUUUUACCUCCAUCAAGAGGGCCCGAACCUGGGUAAAACAUCGUGUCCCUUGUCUCCUGUUACCAUCCGCCUAGACGCACAGUUCGGGACCCCCUACCCGAGAUCCGCAUGUUUUGACACUGACAGAGGGCUUCUACAUCAACUCUAUAGCCCUUUCCGAUGAAGCGUGAGUAGUUUACCUCAGACCUACAGAUCCAUAGCUAGUAGCUAGAUGGCUUCUUCUCUCUCUUUGAUUCUCAAUACCAUGUUUUCCUCAAUGUUCUUGGAUAUCUAUUCGAUGUAGUAGUUUUUUGCGAUGUGUUUGCCGAGAUCCGAUGAAUUAUGGAUUUAUGAUCAGCUUAUCUAUGAAUAUUAUUUGAAUCUUCUCUGAAUUCUUAUCUGCAUGAUUUGAUAUCUUUGUAAUUCUCUUCGAACUAUCGGUUUGGUUUGGCCAACUUGAUUGGAUUUUCUUGCAAGGGGAGAAAUGCUUAGCUUUGGGUUCAAUCUUGCGGUGUCCUUUCCCAGUCACAGUAGGGGCAGCAAGGCACGUAUUGUAUUUUUGCCAUCGAGGAUAAAAAGAUGGGGUUUUCAUCAUAUUGCUUGAGUUAAUUCCUCUACAUCCUGUCAUCUUACUUAAUGCGUUACUCCAUUCUUUAUGAACUUAAUACUCUAGAUGCAUGCUGGAUAGCGAUCGAUGUGUGGAGUAAUAGUAGUAGAUGCAGGAUCGUUUCGGUCUACUUGACACGGACAUGAUGCCUAUACUCAUGAUCAUUGCCUUAGAUAUCGUCAUAACUUUGCGUUUUUAUAUCAAUUUCUCGGCAGUAAUUUGUUCACCCACCGUAUUAUUUGCUAUCUUGAGAGAAGCCUCUACAGAAACCUAUGGCCCCCGGGUCUAUUUUCCAUCAUAUAAGUUUCCGAUCUAAAAUAUUAGUUUCCGAUCUACUAUUUUGCAGUCUUUUACUUUCUGAUCUAUAAACCAAAAAUAUCAAAAAUAUUUACUUUAUCGUUUAUCUAUCUCUAUCAGAUCUCACUUUUGCAAGUAGCCCUGAAGGGAUUGACAACCCCUUUAUCGUGUUGGGUGCAAGUUUGUUUGAUUGUUUGUGCAGGUCUCCGUGAUUUGUGUGUUGUGUCCUACUGGAUUGAUACCUUGGUUCUCUAUUCAGGGAAAUAUUUAUCUCUACUUUGCUGCAUCACCCUUUCCUCUUCAAGGGAAAAACCAAUGCAAGCUCAAGAAGUAGCACGCGUCCGCGGACGUAUAGGGGGCUGGAUUUGCCAAGUUCGGUUGUAGAUGCUCCAAGACAAGCGACAUAUGGCAGUGAAAAACACUGACCCGACAUACGACGCACGCAAGUGUCGCGCAUGAUCUGGCAGCGCCACACAACCAAGAGUCCAAGCCCCUCGGAACCCCACAUGACAAAGGUUGGCCAUGCAACGCGUCGACCCGUCCGGACGGGUGCACCUGGCUCGCGAGUCCGUUCACGCACUGCUCACACGUCGAGCCUUCCAAGCGAGCAAAACAGUCGAACACGAGGCAAUCGACAUUGAGUGUGUGUUUGGUAGGGUGUAUUAAGGGUGCAUGAGAGCAAAAGUUCCCUUCUCGACCCACUUCUGAGUGUUUGGUAGAGUGUAUGAAGUGUGCGUGAGUCCACACUAGCUUAACACAAAUACACUAGAAGCAUGCAUGAAGAGAGCAUGCAUGAAGAGGGGUGCUGAGAUGAGCAUGCACGAAGAAGGAACAACUACAUUGAGAUCAGAAUGCAACUAAACACACGCGCGGGGCAGCGGGCAAGAUGGCGCAUGCGGGUGCGACCAAAAACACCGACAUGGCACACGACACGCGCAAGCGCCGUGGUGGACCCGACUGCGUCGAACAACCAAGCCCCUAGCAACCACACACGACAAGUCCAGCCAUGCAACACGCCGACUCGGUCAGGCACACUCGGCUCGUGAUUCCAGACAUGCACCAAGUCUCCGGCAUGAGUGAACCAGCCCGAUGAGGUGCCACCAACACCGAAAGUCGGCCCCUGGCUCACCCAGCGCGCGGGGAGUAGCGGGCAAGACGGCGCACACGGGCGUGACCGAAAACAACACGGGGAAGUGGCCCCGGCUACGCACGCGGCCCACACAUCAUGGAUCCUGGAGACCCCGCCAGACGCACCCGACUCGUGAGUCCAGACGUGUACCGCUCACACGCCGAGUCUCCCGCAUGAGCGAACUAGCCCGGCGUGGUGCCACCAACGCUGAAAAGCCGACCUUGGCUCACCCGGCGGGAGCAACGCGCAAGACGAUGCACACGGGCGCGACUGAAAACACCAUAGGGAGGUGGCCCCGGCUACGCACGCGGCCCACGCAUCAUGGACCCCGGAGGGAAAACGGCUCUCCAUCCUUUAUAUAAGGUGUAUUUCAUUUCAUCCAUAAUACAAAAUUAUAUCAUUUGAUCCAUCAUGAAAAGUAAUUUCAUAUUUUAUCUAUUUGGUAUAGCAAAUAUUCUUAUUUUAUUUUAUUAUCUUGGUCAAACAUUCAAAUGGUUGACUUGAACGAAAAUUAAUACACCUUAUAUUCUAGAACGGAGGGGUAUCAAACAAACCGGACAAUGAUGAAAUGAAACCAUCCAUAUUUAUCAAUCCUCGAGGGUCAACAAUGUUCAUUCUAUUGACCUGAGUGUGAAUCACAGUCUCAAUAUUUCAUAUGGACUCUGACGAGGAAUAGUUUCCAUCUUGCUAUUCCUAGGUCAUAGCAAUGUAAUUUAAUGAACAGUACUUUCCUACCUUACAGGGCGGUGCCUAUACAUAUAAUAAGUUAAUUCCAGAAGCAAAGUACAGAAAACAGACUAGAUUUACUUGUCGCUCAUUUCAUAGUUGUGAAGAUUUCGUACAGAAGUUUCGAAAAGAAAAAAAGAUUUCAUAUAGAAGUUUUUACAGUACAACACCAACUUAGAGCAAGAUUUAUUGUCUAUAUAUGAUGGGGAAUAGACUAACCAUGAAUAGCAACAGCCACAUAGAGAAAUUUGAACUUCUAAAUAGAUAAUAUGACCUCAGCUGUAAUCUUAUAACGGUAGAUAUGUGAUGUAAACAUGAAGUAAAAACAAGUCCGGAACUUCGUUUCACAAAGUUGAAGCCACAGGAUUGCAGCCAAAUAGCAUUCAGUGAAUGUCCUUGUCCUCCGUUCGAAGUUAUGAUUCAUUUUCUUUCUCAGCCAUUUCCUUUUUAUAAGCCUGCAACCUUUCUUUAAAUUUCUUGCUCUCUUCAAAGUUUGCCUUUCUCUUCACAGCUU